AAAGAAAAAGGAAAUAAGCAUAUUCAUAAAUUGAGUAUUAAAUACGGGUCACACAUACGGCACAUGGCAAUAGAAGAGUCUUGUAGUAGUAGCUGCCUAUAUAGCGUGAACUUUCAUAGAAGGUGAAUGACAAAUGUGUGCUAUUUUCGUCAUUCGUAACGGUUCACAUCACAAAUAGUCCCCUUUUUGAUAGCCAGAUUCCAUGGAAACAAAAGUUCUGUCCAGCGGAAUCCGCCACUCUACUAUCCCUCAAAGUUAUAUCCGCCCUCAAUCCGAUAGGCCACGCCUCUCUGAAGUCGUUGAUUGCGAAAACGUUCCAGUAAUUGACAUGGGCUGUGGAGAUAGAAACCAUAUAAUUCGUCAAAUUGGCGAAGCCUGUCAUCUUUAUGGUUUUUUCCAGGUUUUUAUCAUCUCACCAAUUGUCUAAUUUUUUUUGCUACAUGUAUGGUAAUUAACGAGGAACUUUUAAACUUUAUGAUUAGGUAAUUAAUCAUGGUGUACCAACGAAUUUAGUAGAGGAAAUGCUAGAGAUAGCUCGGGAAUUUUUUAACCUUCCUGUUGAAGAGAAGUUGAAGUUGUACUCAGAUGACCCAUCCAAGACGAUGAGAUUGUCCACUAGUUUUAAUGUUAAAAAGGAGACGGUUCACAAUUGGAGAGAUUAUCUCAGACUUCAUUGUUAUCCUCUGGAAAAAUACGCUCCUGAAUGGCCUUCCAAUCCCGCCUCUUUCAGGUAAACCCUUCACCAUGUUCUCAUUGUGUUAAUCUAUAUUAGUUUCAUUAUUAUGUUAAUGGAUACAUUGCUGUCGUCUGAGUCAUUAGUUUAAUUCUUAUCAUGUCAGCCUUUUUUAUUUUGGUAUACCUCCAAGUAAAAAUAGAACAAUAUCAGUGCGUAAGGAGGUGUGGUCACGUAUCUCACAUGUUUAAACAUAUUAAAUUAAAAGUAAAAUAUUUUAAAGAGUAUAUUCUUUUUGGGCAUGUGUUAGGCACGUGUCAGGUGUUUUUCAGUUGUACAGAAAAAUCAAUAUACCUAAAAAAUUUAUAUAGUAAUAAAUUGAUUUGAUUGUGAAGAUCAGUAAUAGUAGUAAAUGAUUUCAUUCUAAUGGAAUCAUUCUGAAGACAGAGGGUCAAAUCAAUUAAAAAAAAUUAUUAAAAUUCUUUUUUUGUUGCUCUCACAAAAUUCAUGUAAUCUCCCUAACCUUCUAGAGAAGGCAUGUUCCAUGUGAAUGUCCUAACCAUUUUCAAUUUCUUUAUCUUUGCUUUUUAUUCUUUUGACAUUUUAAUGAGUAUUUAAGAAGUACCAUAGGUGUGUGCUCUAAAUUUUAAAAUAAAAUAUUAUUUUCAGCGGGAAUCGAAUGUCCAUCUUUCCCAACAAACCCACAAUCCUUACGGUUGAACCAAAACCCCUUUUGUUACUGGGUUCGGCAGUAUAUAUUUAUAUAAAUUUAAUAAAUAUUUCAAUACAAAUACAGAGUUUCGGAAAAAGUUACUGGGUUCGACCGAACCCGUACCCACCACUGUAGCUCCGCCCCUAGAAGUACCAUAUUGGGGGAAUCUGACCAAGAGGAUUACUUAAGUUAGUGAGCACCUGUAUUUCCAUCUUAUACUUUCAAAGUUCGUGUUAGGAUCGGGAACCCGGAUAGUGCGGAAUAUAACCAAACAACGGUAUAAUGACAAUAACAAAGACAAUUGAAGUUGAUAACAACGACAAUAAAAGUAGAUAAAGAAGACACAAAUUUAACGUGGUUCGGUCAAAGUGACCUACGUCCACAAGCGGAGAGGAGCAAUUUACUAUAAGAAUAAGAGUACAAAAGAGAGUACAAAAUUAGAGUAAACACUCUAAUUAAUCCCAAAUACCCUAAGAGAAUAACCUCACAAGAUCACUCCAAAGAAAGGGUUCACACAAGUGCUUCCCAACACUUAACUCUCAUACAAAACACUUUUAAUAAAGGAAGAAACAAGAAAUGAAGACUUAAGUCUUGUUGGUGUGUCUAAAAUGAACUAAUGGCCUUCCCUUUUAUAGGCAAAAAGUCUUGACCUCUUAGGUAUAAAAAAAGAGAUAUAACUUGUGCAAAUGAUGUCCAACACACAAUGUAAUAUUUUUGGGUCCCAAAAAUUAUUGCCAACAAAGUCUACACUUUGCAAAAAUGCUUAUACUUAUUUAGGUGGACUCUAUUUGACAAAAUAAUUACCAUAUUAUAGUUCGUUCGAAUCAUAUGGAGAGUAGGUGAAAAUACUCUUGAUUUCUUAAAAAUUGAAGCAAGUAAGAAAAUAAAAUCCUGACCACUUCAUUUGGAGAAGGAAAAAAAUGGAAAUCAAUAUCUAAAAUUUUGAAUGGACAAAAAGAGGGGGUAGACGAUAGAGAUAACAGAAAUAAGCAUGUGAGGCCACAUUUCAAAGAUUUAAUUGUCGUGCCUCGGAUUCAUCAACAGUCGUGCUGCCAAAUAAUAAUGUAGGAUGAACCUUUCCUCUAUAUGCCCAAAUCCAAUUUUUCUAAUCGCGACUUUCCACUUGAUUUCGUCAUGUCUAACAAAUAUGAUGACACCAUUUUUGUUGCUAUUAUUCGCCCAGUAGUUGACACGUAAACAUUGUGAACGUCACGGUUGUGAUGACGUCAGAGUUGGAUGAGGAGGUGGCGUAAGCAGACAAAGUGAUAAUGAUGCCAACUUGUGUUUUUUGUCGGGUAGUACAAUUAGGAAGCGAGGACUAUCAAAGUCUCCUUUAAUUUCAAACUUUUAGGCAAUAACAAAAAAAUUCUUCAAAAGUACUUUGUUUUUAAGGGUACAAGUAUUUUAAAUUUAUGUGAACCUAUUUGAUUGUGUAUGAAGUUAAAAAAAAAAAAAAUUAAAUUUAUGUAAAAUAAUACACAUAUAUUUUAUGUGGUUAUAGGUAAAUUAUUUUCAAAUAUAAAAAUGAAUCAUUUUUUUUAUACAAACUAAAAAAAAAAUCACAUAAAAUGAAACAGAUGUAAUAUAAGUACUUUUAAAUAUUAUAAAGUGCACUUCCUUUUUUUCAAAAAUUAAUAAUAAUAUAAAAGUAUCAUAGGGGAUAGAAAACUUGCCUUGACAAUUUCAGCCCUUUGAUUUUCGUUCUUGUACAUUUUCCCUCGCGGAAAAAAACUUGAGCGCAAAAGUGGCCUCAGGAAGGACAAGGAGGUGGACCGUUGGAGUAGCAAAAUGAGCAAUUUAUGCAAAUACUCAUUGAGCUUAAAAUAAUUAUUAUUUUUAAUUUAUUUGAAAAUUAUUUACAAUAUAUACUUACCCAAUUAAAAUUAAUUAUCCAUACCCACCCACUCAUUACUCGUUUGGCUUGGCUUAGCUUGAUUUGGCUUGACUUGGUUUGCUUUGCUUGGCUUGAUUUGGCUUUGCUUGACUUGGUUUAGUAACUUAAUUUGAGUUCAUUUGGUUGGUUUUUGACUGGGUAUUAAAAAAAAUGGGUAGGGGCAAACUAUGUAGGUCGGUAAAUAUUUUGUCCCGCCUGGGUAUUUGUUAAAGACCCGUAGGAAAAAACUGGGCUUAUAUAAAUAGGAAAUGGAGAAACAUAAGAAAAGAAAAAGAAAACAGGAUAGAAACUGAAAUAGAAAUAUAUUUAAAAGGAAAAUGAAAUAAGAUUAAUACAACAAUAUAUACCGAAUUUAAUAGCUUGGGGUUUAAUUGAAAGAUUCAACAAUAUAUACUUAUAAUUUAAGAUAUAAUUGUUUGUAGACAACAUUUCAUAGUCAUUUUUUAUACUAGCAGUGUACGCGCUUUGCGUGUGUAUCCAUAACAAUAUUAUACAACCUAAAAAAAUUGACAUUGUUACGAUUUAAUGAUGUAUAUAAGUUAUAAAAUUAAAGAAAAGAAAUAUAAAAAAAUUGACAUUGUUACGAUUUAAUGAUGUAUAUAAGUUAUAAAAUUAAAGAAAAGAAAUAUAAAAAAAUUGACAUUGUUACGAUUUAAUGAUGUAUAUAAGUUAUAAAAUUAAUGAUGCAAAAGUUAAAAAUGACUAUUGUUGAUUACUACUAUUUAUAACAUAUAACCUAAUACAUUACUGUUAAAUAUUUUUCAAAUCACAAAGAGAAAAGGAAGAGGAGUAGAGAAACGUACCUGGAAGAGUUGAUGGAUGUAUGUGGCCAGAGAGGAGGCAGAGCUCCUUUUAUAAAUCAGCAACGACGGUGUUUAAAUACUUUCAAAUGUGAUGAACCCUCUUUUAAUCCAAAUUCUCGAAUGACAGAAUCUUUUUCUAAAAGAAAAUCGAAUUGGAUGGGAAAUAAGAAAGGAAAAGUUAUUAGCCUAAAUUUUGAAAUAAGCUAUAUAUUCG
rnacentral:lncRNA from 1 species